ACUGGUCCAGGAUGAAACCUAAUUUGAGUGGACAUCCAUGGAUGAGAAAUGCGGAUAUGGGACUGAGACCAGCUCCUAGG
rnacentral:snoRNA from 1 species